rnacentral:rRNA from 1 species
CCUACGGGAGGCAGCAGUGGGGAAUAUUGUGCAAUGGGCGUAAGCCUGACGCAGCGACGCCGCGGGAGGGAUGAAGGUCUUCGGAUCGUAAACCUCUGUCAGCAGGGAAGUACGGUCACUGUGCUAAUCAGCAGUGAAUUGACGGUACCUGCAAAGGAAGCACCGGCUCACUCCGUGCCAGCAGCCACGGUAAUACGGAGGGUGCGAGCGUUAAUUGGAAUUACUUGGCUUAAAGCGCUCGUAGGCGGUAUGUCCAGGCAAGGGUGAAAUCCCCGCGCUCAACGUGGGAACUGCCUUUGAAACUGGCAAACUGGAGUGUGUGAGAGGAUAGUGGAAUUCCAGGUGUAGGAGUGAAAUCCGUAGAUAUCUGGAGGAACAUCAGUGGCGAAGGCGACUAUCUGGCACAUAACUGACGCUGAGGAGCGAAAGCGUGGGUAGCAAACAGGAUUAGAUACCCGGGUAGUC